GCGCCGCCCAAGUUCAGGAAGGGCCCCGCGGAGCCGCCGGGGCUCCCCGGGCUGCCCUGGGGCGCGGGCUCCGGCGGGGACACCAGCUCCGCAUCCUUCAGCGGCGAGAACAGGCUGCUCCUGGCCAGCAGGCUGCUCUCCUGGAAGCUGUGGCUGUACUCCAGGUGCACCCGCAGGGAGGAGAGGCUCCGGAACCUGGUGUGGUCACCGCAUCGCGGGCAGCGGAAGGGGAGGCUGACGCUGCCGAGCGGCUCCGGCCAGGGGUGCCCGCCUUCAUCCCGGGGCGUCUGUUGCAUUCCUCGCCAGGAGGGAACAGCCCAGACAAAUUCCAGUCCGGGUUUUCCCCCACCGCCGAGAAAUUCUUCAAACCGUCUUAAAUGGGGCCUGAACGGGAAUAGAGGCAAGGAUGGAAAGGAGGUCCUGCUCCAGGACUGUUCACAACCGAACGGAAAGAAAAGCGCUACAGGUCCUCUCUGCUGGACAGGAGGUGCGCGGUUGCAGGAACAGGGCUAGGUAAGUGCCCGGAGGUAAGAGAGCCUCCAGAUCGAAACAAGGCUGCUUUAAGCAACCAGGGGAAGCAAAUAGCGCCGAAACAAAAAAGACGGGAGGAAUACCUGCCCGGAACAAAAACUGCUCAGGGAAUGGGGUCUAAAUAUGUCCUCAGAGCAAAAGAGAGUUAACGAAGCGAUAAAACGCCUCUUUAAACAACAUGAGGCCGCCUCCGACACGCCGCCCAGCCCGCGAACUCGUUUGCAGACCAGGAGAACUACGAGACCGGCUCCCUCAGCAACUCCGAGCCACCCAACACGGCCUCGGACCUGCCUUUCCAUCUCCGAGGGUGAGGGCGGCAAGGAGGACCAGCUCGGGGGGGGCCGUACGCAAGCUGCUUUCAGCAAAAAGGAAAGGAACUGUUACCAGAUUCCUGCGAUAUCUGCAAAUGAGAAAUGAAAUCGACUUCAAAAACCACACGGAACGUGAACUCGGACAAGCAGCAACAGACCGGAAACUGUGAAGUAAAAAUCACCAAAUACCUUGCCUUUUGUGUUUGCAGCAGAACCUCUUAGUGUAACACAUAAUAUUAAGUUUUGUUUUGUUGUUAAGAUAAUGUUUGCCUGUGUUUCCUAAUUGUUUCAGCAAAAGAAAAGAUUCCCUAAUAAUUCAUAUUAAGGUUCAUGCAGGAUUUCAUGCGAAUAAUCGAAUCAGGUUAUACCAAAAAAGCUCACAGCAUCUGCUUUUAAUGAGUUGCCACUUUAAACACAUAUUUGCCUCAUUGCUUUUACCCUAACACACACCAUACAUCACUGACAAACUGCAGAGAUACAAAAGGACUAGAAAGUUGCAAACAAGACCACAUCACUGUGACAGCUAUAAAAGGCACUGGGUUUACAUACAGAUUGGAUUUAAAGAGUUUUCUAGGUUUAUGCAAUAAAAACAGGUCCAACAAAGCAAAGUUUUUACAGGUUGAAGUGAAUAGCAAGACUUUCAUAUGAUUCUUAAAACUGACUAUAAAGAUAUGCAGGCACCUUUAAACAGCUAUGACUCCUUCAUAUGCCUUUAUAAUGCCAAGCUUUGUGGCUCAAAUUAUUUUGACAUGUAUAAUCAUACUUUCCAUUUCAGGUAUAGAAAAAGCUACACAUUGCCUUGAAAAAAGAGUCUUCUUGCUAAAAUGAAUUCUCACUUGUGGUGUUAAAAGUAAGGCUGUAGAAUUUUGUUCUUAGCUCAUUCUAAGGCAAUACAUCAAAGCAUUGAUAAGCAUGUUUAGUUACCUUGAUAAGCUUGUCAAAUAAAGCAUUCAGUUUUGGACCCUCA